AGAAGAUGCAGACGAAGCAGAUGAGGGACACGGACACGUACACAUUGAAGCCCGUCACCUGGGCCAGCGCCAGGGCCGGGGCGUACACCACGAUGGCCAUGUACAGGCACAUCUACAAGGGAUGGACGUAAGAUUGAGGUCUACGUAUUGCACAAAACUUGACAAGAAAUACAAGUUCCAUACAAGUUCAAAUCAAGUUCAAUACAAGUUCAGCACAAGUUUUAAAUCAAGUUCAAAUCAAGCUCAAAUCGAGUUCAAUACAAGUUCAAAUCAAGUUCAGCACAAGUUUAAGCUCCAGCCGACCUCAAGGUUAUGAAAGACAAGUUCAUCCCUAACACAAGUCCAAUACAAGCGCAAAUCAAGUUCAGUGCAAGCUUCCAAUACUCACAUCAAGCUUAUGAAAGACAAGUUCAUCCCUAACACAAGUCCAAUACAAGCGCAAAUCAAGUUCAGGGCAAGCUUCCAAUACUCACAUCAAGGUUAUGAAAGACAAGUUCAUCCCUAACACAAGUCCAAUACAAGCGCAAAUCAAGUUCAGGGCAAGCUUCCAAUACUCACAUCAAGGUUAUGAAAGACAAGUUCAUCCCUAACACAAGUCCAAUACAAGCGCAAAUCAAGUUCAGGGCAAGCUUCCAAUACUCACAUCAAGGUUAUGGAAGACAAGUUCAUCCCUAACACAAGUCCAAUACAAGCUCAAAUCAAGUUCAGUGCAAGCUUCCAAUACUCACAUCAAGGUUAUGAAAGACAAGUUCAUCCCUAACACAAGUCCAAUACAAGCUCAAAUCAAGUUCAGGGCAAGCUUCCAAUACUCACAUCAAGCUUAUGGAAGACAAGUUCAUCCCUAACACAAGUCCAAUACAAGCUCAAAUCAAGUUCAGGGCAAGCUUCCAAUACUCACAUCAAGGUUAUGAAAGACAAGUUCAUCCCUAACACAAGUCCACUACAAGCUUCCAAUACUCACAUCAAGCUUAUGGAAGACCGGGAAGUAUAGGUAUGAAGCUGCCGGCAUCACCAGGAUAUAGGAGAAACCAAUGAGCCAAUAGACGAAGCCAAACUGAUACACCUCUGACGGAGUGCCCAGCAGCGUGAUGGCGGACAUGAAGCUGUGGAGGCAGGCAACAGAAGGGUUCAUGGUCUAAUGUGACGAAGAUGAGCGCUGAGGCCACGAGCAGCGGAUUCCCUUCAUCAGCUCCCCGUGUCCCCGCCGCUGUUUCCCGCUAAAGACACCCUUGUGAACACGUAGUCACAGGCCAUUCCCUUCAUCAGCUGCCCGUGUCCCCGUCGCUGUUUCCCGCUAAAGACACCCUUGUGAACACGUAGUCACAGGCCAUUCCCUUCAUCAGCUCCCCGUGUCCCCGCCGCUGUUUCCCGCUAAAGACGCCCUUGUGAACACGUAGUAGAGUCACAGGCCAUUCCCUUCAUCAGCUCCCCGUGUCCCCAGCCGCUGUUUCCCGCUAAAGACACCCUUGUGAACACGUAGUCACAGGCCAUUCCCUUCAUCAGCUCCCCGUGUCCCCAGCCGCUGUUUCCCGCUAAAGACACCCUUGUGAACACGUAGUCACAGGCCAUUCCCUACAUCAGCUCCCCGUGUCCCCAGCCGCUGUUUCCCGCUAAAGACACCCUUGUGAACACGUAGUCACAGGCCAUUCCCUUCAUCAGCUCCCCGUGUCCCCAGCCGCUGUUUCCCGCUAAAGACACCCUUGGGAACACGUAGAGGCCCCAUUCUCUUUCAUAAUAAAAUGCCUUUGUCUUUGUUAUAUAAUUACUUAAUUAGUCUACUUACUGUUGGUAGUAGUAGUAGUAGUAGAAGAAAUAGUAAUAAUUUUAGUAGAAGCAGUAGUAGUAUAUGUUAUUUAUAGAUUUGAGAAUUUACGAAGAACAUAAGAUAGCUAGUAUUAGUGGUAGUAGUAGUAGUAGUAGUAGUAGUAGUU